UCUUACUGUUGAAUAUGUAAUGCAUAGAUAAAGCACAACCAUAAUGUAAAAGAGGGAUAUUUAUGUGCUUUGUGCUUCUUUAGGGGGUCUCAGACGUUUCAGAAUUAGAGGAUGGAGGUGAUGCCGUAAAGUAGGCCUCUCCCAUUAGCAGCCUUUAGAAUAAGACAUGAAUCAUCCUCGUCAUUCAGAGGAGAAAGGAAAUGUAAUGCAGUGAGGAUGGAGAGAGAUGAAAAAAAUAAAAAAUAAAAACAGAAAUAGACGUAUGCCUCCUCGGAGCGUUGAUGCCGAUGACGAGCGCUGUAAGCGGACGCACACCAAACCACACCGCCGGCGCAUUCGUCUGAGUCACGGCUAAUGAUUUCUCAUCCACGCCUUGGCAGGUCACCUCGCACCUUGUGGGGUGAGCAGCUGUCUAAGUCAGCCGUCGUCGUUUGGAAAUGAGCACAAACCCAGAAGUGGAAAUAAUGGAAGGGAAUCGGUUCAUUACAUAGGUGGGGCUUAUACAAAACAGGAUUUUUUUUCCUCUUGGAAUUUGAAAUAUUGCCGCCUCCGUGGAGCUGCAGGGAUCCACUGGGGAACCUUUCUGAGCUACAGUUCCUGGAGUUCCUGGAGUUCUAUCAGCGACGUAGCCCACACCUUUAGCCCUGGAGUGCAAAUGGAACACGUGAUCUGAGUGGUGGGGAAAGGUGAGGAGAAAAAGGGAAAAAAACAGAUGGAGAGAAUGGAACGCUGUCUGUUCUGGAGCUCUCGAUUACUAGAGUGACGAGACGGUGAAAGCAGGAAGGGCUGAGGUGAGACCGGAGAGACGGUGAACGCAGGAAGGGCUGAGGUGAGGCAGAAGAGACGAGAUCGUGACUCACUUGUUCGGAGAUGAAAAACACAGAUUUCUCUUCUCCCCACCCCAUCCAUGCGAGCGUGAACUCUGACUUGUUCUCUGGCUUGUUAUUGGUCUACUAGUGUGUUCCUGCCGAGAUGUUAUACUUCCAAGAUGCCCCCCGUCCGUCCGUCCGUCCGUCCGUCC
ensembl:lncRNA